rnacentral:rRNA from 1 species
UACGGGGGGAGCAAGCGUUGUUCGGAUUUACUGGGCGUAAAGGGCGCGUAGGCGGCCACCGCAAGUCAAUUGUGAAAUCUCCGGGCUCAACCCGGAAAGGUCAACUGAUACUGCGGGGCUAGAGUGCAGAAGGGGCAACUGGAAUUCUCGGUGUAGCGGUGAAAUGCGUAGAUAUCGAGAGGAACACCUGCGGCGAAGGCGGGUUGCUGGGCUGACACUGACGCUGAUGCGCGAAAGCCAGGGGAGCGAACGGG